rnacentral:rRNA from 1 species
UGCAGUCGAGCGAGAAGUCUCUUCGGAGAUAAGUACAGCGGCGGACGGGUGAGUAACGCGUGAGAAUUUUCCCUUUAGUGAAGAAUACCCUUGAGAAAUCAGGGUUAAUACUGCAUACGUCCCUCCGGGGAGAAAGGUGGCCUCUUUGCUGCCGCUAAAGGAUAAGCUUGCGUACUAUUAGCUAGUUGGUGAGGUAAAGGCUCACCAAGGCGAUGAUGGUUAGCCGGCCUGAGAGGGUGUACGGCCACACUGGAACUUAGACACGGUCCAGACUCCUACGGGAGGCAGCAGUGAGGAAUAUUGCGCAAUGGGCGAAAGCCUGACGCAGCGACGCCGCGUGGAGGAUGAAGGUCUUCGGAUUGUAAACUCCUGUUAAGUGGGAAGAAAGACCUAUUUCUAAUACAGAUAGGGGAUGACGGUACCAUUAGAGAAAGCACCGGCUAACUUCGUGCCAGCAGCCGCGGUAAUACGAGGGGUGCAAGCGUUAUUCGGAAUCAUUGGGCGUAAAGGGUGCGUAGACGGCUUAUUAAGUCAACUGUUAAAUUCUCCGGCCUAACUGGAGGUCAGCGGUAGAAACUAAUAGGCUUGAGAUUGGAAGAGAGAAGUGGAAUUCUCGGAGUAGCGGUAAAAUGCGUAGAUCUCGAGAGGAACACCGAUGGCGA